rnacentral:lncRNA from 1 species
ACAAAGAUGUUCGUCUAUCAACGUUUCCAUGGAGACCACUGUAGUCUGGGUGAUAACAAGGGUCAAGUGUUCUUGCUGUGAGAGAAAGGCAGCAGAGCUGGGCAGUUUUGUAUGCUGUGGCAUCUUCUCGGGUUAGUUUUAUUACCUUUAUACUCUUCUCAUGUUAUAUAAAAUAGUCUACUAAUGAUGUUUUCUGUUGAGACAUUUACAAGAUGACCUGUGAAGAGGGGGGCAUAUUGCAAUAAAAAUUCAUUUUUAGACCUGCA